AGUCGUGGCCGAGUGGUUAAAGGCGAUGGACUAGAAAUUCAUUGGGGUCUCCCCGCACAGGUUCGAAUCCCUGUCGGACUG
rnacentral:tRNA from 1 species